GAUGAACGCUGGCGGCGUGCCUAAUACAUGCAAGUCGAGCGAACAGACGAGGAGCUCGCUCUCUUGCCGUUAGCGGCGGACGGGUGAGUAACACGUGGAUCAGCAACUUCUAUGACUGGGGUAACAUCGGGAAACCAGAGCUACUAACGGAUCAUAUAUUGAACCGCUUGGUUCAAUAGUUAAUGACAGCUUUGCUGUCUCUUAUAGACGGAUUCGCGCCGCAUUAGCUAGUUGGUAAGGUAACAGCUUACCAAGGCUACGAUGCGUAGCCGACCUGCGAGGGUGAUCGGCCACACUGGAACUGAGACACGGUCCAGACUCCUACGGGAGGCAGCAGUAGGGAAUCUUGCACAAUGGGCGAAAGCCUGAUGGAGCAACGCCGCGUGAGUGAAGAAGGUCUUCGGAUCGUAAAGCUCUGUUAUUAGGGAAGAACAGAUGUGUGUUUAACCAUGCACGUCUUGACGGUACCUAAUCAGAAAGCAACGGCUAACUUCGUG
rnacentral:rRNA from 1 species